rnacentral:tRNA from 1 species
AUCCCGUUCGUCCAAUGGUAAGGACAGUCGAUUCCACUUUGUGUGGAUCGACAGAUGUGGGUUCAAAUCCUACGCGGGAUC